AGAUGUAAAGAUGGAAAGAGGCUGCGUCAUGUUAUGGACAGCAAAGUCAAAGAACCAGGGUAUAAAUCAAAACCCAUGGUUUUCGAGGAGGAUGCACUGACGUUUUUGAAGGCCGGAAGAGUAGAAAACACUGUCGAUGUAACAAUUUGUAAUAAGGAAAUAGUAACUACAUCCAGUCCUUUGCGUGCCUUUCUUCCAGCAAGAGCAAGAUAAAAAGAUUUGACAACAAUGUAGGGACCUCAAAAACAACAAAAACGGAAAUCUCCUUGUUAUGCGCUGUGGAAAAGUUAAAGUAUAUCUACUGAAGAAGCCCUACAAGAAGGACUGAGGAAGGACUUCAAUGUUGUUGGAUUUAUGACAGAACUGAUAUGAUCAGGUCCUGCAACAGACUUUUCUAUAAGUUAAUGAUUUCUAGAACAGAAGUUAUUGAAAUGUGUUUCAGCUUUUUUUGUUUUCUUUUUCAUGAGCCAAGAAAUUUUAUUCUUUUGAUUGCUGAUACAAGGAAAUCUAUGAAUAGUAAAGUAAACUGACUGCAUUGCUUGAAUUGACUGUAAGAAAGAAAUUCAAUGCCUGCAUUGAAUCUAGAAAAAAA